rnacentral:rRNA from 1 species
CAUGUCUUUUUGAAAAUGAUUUAAGGUCUAAUCUGCUCAAUGAUGUUUUAAAUUGCCGCAGUAAUUUAACUGUGCAAAGGUAGCAUAAUAAUUAGUUAUUUAAUUGAUAGCUUGAAUGAAUGAUUGGACGAGAAAAUCACUAUUUUAUUUAAAAAAUUUGAAUUUUAUUAUUAAAUUAAAAAGUUUAAAUGUAUAUAAAAGACGAGAAGACCCUAUAGAUUUUUAUAUUUAAUAUAAUUUUUUUUAUAGAAUAUUUUUUAAUAUUAAAUAUUUAUUUGGGGUGAUUAAUUGAUUUGAAUAAUUCAUUUAAUUGUUGAGAUUAAUAAAUAAUUUUUUUAUCUUAAAUUUUAAAAUUUAAAUUAAAUUACCUUAGGGAUAACAGCGUUAUUAUUUCUUAGAGUUCUGAUUGAAGAAAUAGAUUGCGACCUCGAUGUUGGAUUAAAAUUUAAAUUAGGUGAAGAAGCUUAGUAUUUAGAUCUGUUCGAUCUUUAAAAUUUUACAUGAUCUGAGUUUAGACCGGUGUGAACCAGGUUAGAUUCUAUCUUUAUAAUUUUGUAAUAUUUUAGUACGAAAGGACCAUAUAUUGUUUGUUACUUUGACAG